GUGCUUGCCUUCCUGAAUAAAUUAUCUUACUAAGUUUUGGCCUUUUUGCAGAUCAAAAUGGAAUCUAUCCACCACUGAAGUUAAGGGAUCUCCAAUGGAGUCAUUGCUGGCAUAUCUGUGGUAGGAAUUGUGGGCUCCUUGCUUUCUGCCUUUUUUCUGUUUGCCCGAAUUUGUAAAAGGAAGAAGGUGGAAAAAGUACCAUUUUUCCCUGCAGCAUCUGAACUACAAUAUAGGCAACAUGGACAAGGUCAUGGAAGUUCCUUAAAAGAGACUUCAGAAUCAGCUGCUCUUGUUAGUGCUGCUUCUCUGGGGCUCAUGGGGCUCGUAGGUAUAACUGUGGACAAAUCUGUGGAGUUUUCAUAUGAAGAUCUGGCCACAGCUACAGAUAACUUCAGCUUGGCUAAUAAGAUCGGCCAAGGUGGCUUUGGAUCUGUCUACUAUGCAGAGCUGAGAGGCGAGGAGUUGAUUUCAAGAUUAUGCUGCUCACAAUUGGUGGGAAAAGAUUGAAGCUUACAAACUGGGACACAGCUGGACAUGAGAGGUUUGGAACAUUGACAAACUCUUAUUAUAGAGGUGCACAUGGCAUUAUUCUAGAUGCUGCUAGAAUGUCGUUGCGCAGCGCCAAGGUAAAAAUUGUCAGGGAGACUUUAGUCAUGCUUAUUUGGACUCACUUGCACAUCUAGCUGCUGCAAUGGAAGAAAAAGAGUAUUGGGAGCUAAGUCUAGACCAGUCUUGCCAAUUGGAGAAUAUGCAGCAGUAACUCUUGUAAUGUUCUUUGGCCUCAAGUCAAUAAAAGAUGCAUGGGACCUUCCAUCAAAUGUAGGUAAGAGUGGACCUAAACUUGAUGAAUUUGUGGAGGCUGAGGAGUUUGUGAAGGAAAAGGUGUCAAAACGACUCUCAAACCCACUUGAAAUCGUCUGGAAGUCAUUUAGCCUUGUGUUCUUUGCUCAAACCACUUGAGCAAAGAGCAAAUUUUACUAACUCCAUCUAACAGUUGGUCAAUUAUCUUCUCUCAAGUCUAUCGACCUUGGGAAUCUAAAUCUUCUGGAGCACAUGCCUUCUUCAUUUUCAUUGAGAGACAAUCUGGUUUACGAAAAGCAGCAAACAAGAAGAAUUUGCCAUGUUGACUCUGGAUUUUCUACACAUUGAAUGCUUUUGUAUAUACUUUGUUCAUAGGAUCUCAUUGUGUAGAGGGGAGGAUUGAAGAAGCAAUUGAAUUGAUGCAAGAUAUGGAAAAUGCAGGUCUGAUGAAACAUUUAAUCUUCUCAUUGCAGGAUGCUCCAAAGCAGGAAGAUUGGAAGAAGGCCUAAGAUUAUGUGAGAGGAUGAUGGAGAGGGGACUUGUUCCUAGUUGUUGGGCCUUCAAUCUGAUGGCUGGAAAGCUUUGUGAGUCUGGGGUUGUGAAGAGGGCUGAUGAGAUCACAUAUUCUAAUCUCAUUGCUAGUUAUGGAAAACUAGGUGAGUUUCAACAAGUUCUCAAACUGUAUUAUGAAAUGGAGUACAGGUCAUUGUCUCCUGGAUUAUUGGUUUUUGAAUCAUUAAUCAGAAGUCUAUGCCAAUGUCGGAAGUUAGAGAAAACAGAGAAGUAUCUGAGAAUAAUGAAAGACCGGUCCAUCGCUAUAAGCACCUGUGUUUAUGAAACAUUGAUCAGCGGCUACUUUGAGAAGGGAGAUGAAUUGAGGGCUUCACAACUUAACAAUGAAAUGGUUUCUAGAGGAUUGAAGCCUAGCUGCUCCUAUAUGUUUCAUCCAUAAAAAUGUCCUGAUUCACAGUUGACACAACAACACCUGAAAAGGAAAGAGCUAAUGUGAGUACAAGGGGCGUGGCAACUGUCAACCCAGAAAAUAUCCCACACUUGCAUUUACUAAGUUACUUUGUAUUAUAUAGAAUUAUGAAAUUUUCAUUAUAUGAAGUUCCUAUUUUCCUAUAUUCAACCAAAC